AGGGUCCGGCGGAGGUGCCCAACCUGUUCUCUGAAUCGAUCCAAGAGGCCAACAACGUUCCGGUUGAUCUCCUCCGGGAAGAACCCUAACCCUCGAUCAUGUCGGCCGCGAUGUCCAUAUCCAGCCGCCGCUCUCCUUCCGAGCUUAGCCGGCCCACUCCUCCGGCAACCAUAAUCCCCAAGUCCCACCCCCUACCACCGUGCCAGACACGCUGUCCGGAUCCAGCCGCCGCUCCUUCUUCGGCCGUCCGGCCCACUCCUCCGGGCGUGUCCGGCCGUGCGGGAACCCGUUCACCGGCCCUCUCCUCCGUCCCCAGCCGUCCCGACUGCGUCCUCCUGGACUCAUGUGGGUAUGGCUUCGUGGACGUGGACGACAACGACACCACCGCGCAAGCCUUCUCGGAGGCGACAGGAACCAUCCGCGUGACUUUCGUUAUCUCCGAUCUCCCGUGCCUCUCGCGCUUCUACGUCCGCUGCCUCGACCUCCCGACCAGCCCCUUCAUCACCGAGCCCAAGAUCGUUUGCUCGGCGGAGAACCUUGCUCUCCUCAGCUUCCACCUGUCCACUUCCUGGUUGCCAGAGCACUUCAUCUACAGGGCCUGGCGGAACGGGCGUCCGCCAUCGCUUGACGCGCUUCCCGACAUCAGCAGGUACCUACAUAGAGAGACAACCAAACCAUGCCUUAUCGGCGUCUUGCCUGACGGCGGCGGCACAGACUUCGUCUUGGCAGCUUUCACAAGGGAUAUAUUGCAGUACAAACUCCAUAUCUUCAGAUCCAAGCAGCGUGCCUGGACCACGGAGCUCUUGUUCCCGGAUCUUCCUCCUUGGCUGACCAAGAAAGGGGCAACAGUUUCCCCCAGCAAGGUGAUUGCUUUACAGGGCGGGGUGCUGGGCUUUGUUGAUCUCUGGAAGGGUAUUUUGUUUUGCGAUGUGCUAUCUGAACUUGUGAAAACGUGGUUUGUUCACUGCCCAAGCUUCUGCCCAAUAACCGAGUAAACUACAACAGAUUGCCGGCACGCCCCAUUCGCGAUGUCACCUGCCCCGAUGGUUUGAUAAUCAGGUGUGUCGAGUUGGAAGAUCUAUAUGCUAUCAAAACCAGCAUUCCCGAUGCCUCAACCAAGGAUCUAUUAUUUGAUUUUGAUGCGGUUGAUCCAACUGAGGAGAAGGAAGUACAGGAGUUUGUUGGUUGGAGGCUCAUUACAUGGUCUAGGGAGGUCUUUUGGGACUAUUGGUGCAAGGACAGUGUGGUUCAUCUAGAUGAACUUGGAAAUGUGUCCUUGCCUCAUCAGAUUCCGGCUGCCAUGGUGCUGCAAAAUUGCCAUUGAAAACCCUGAAAACAUGUUACCCAACCGCGUGUGGUGAUGGCAUUGUUUGUCUCAUGUCCAAGAAAAAUCAUCGGGACCAUGAUGCAUGGAUUCUCACUGUUGACAUGAGGACCAAGAGAGUGGGAGAGCCAGUGCCAUUUAAUGCCAAGAGAUCAUCAGAUCGUAAUCGUAAUCCCACCUACAUUCCUUGUGCGCUGAACAAAUAUCUGAAUAAUGAAUCAGAUCUAGCUCAGGUUGGCUUGCAAAAUGCCCGUUUUCAUGGACAUUUUUCGCUUCAGCUGCCCCUUCAAAACUCGAACAAGCACAGUAAUAUUUCCCAACAGAAACGGCAGCGACUGCUGUCCCCGCAGAAAGCGAACAGCUAUCCUAAUGCUUACCAACAGAAGCGGCAGACCAUUGAUUCAAAUGAGGCGACCGGCUCAUGCACUUCUCAUCAGAGAGAGGGUACUCCGGGAAGAACAUGGGCCGGUCGGGGAUCCCUGUGCGCUACAGCAUCUGCUCGCCCCCAACAUAACAAGGCCAGAAUCAACAGAAGCAAACCACGGAGUUGCUGGCCAAAAUAAUUUCAAACAAAAUGAAAGCUGACAAGGGAGGAGAGGACGUGCGUCAUGUUGUUCUGCUUCUUGAUGAGGGAGGUGAGGAGGGGCCUGAAGAGCGGGGACUCGAGGAGCAUACCCAGUACGCCUUGGCGGCGAACGGAAUCCCCUUCCUCCUCCUUUGCGGACUGGCGCACGGCCGAGGCGGCGACCGGCGCGUAGGCCCACGCACACCCGAGGUGGCGCAAGCGCAGCGCGAGACACUGCUGCUUUCCCCGUGCCUCCUCCGGCGUCGGGGGCAACGAGGAGGAGGUGUCGCCGCAGCGCGCAAGCAGGAGACGCAGCGGGAGGAAGAAGAAACAACUUUGGGGGUGAAAGAGGGGAGAUUUGGGAGGCAGGCAAGGGGGCCAGGGGAGCUGCGCGAGGCAGGAGGGAGCGGUGGCGUAGGCAUCCCCGGCGGCGGAGGAGGACGUGCGGGAGAGCAGGGGAGCAGCACGGUGAAGCUGAGCAGGGGAGCUCCGGCGUCGAUGCGCCCGUGUCGGAGCGGCGGGGUGUGUCGAUUGGAGAAGACGAGGAGUGCGGGUUGUGUCGGGAGUUUGGGGAGGGGUUUUCUGCAAAAACGCCAGGAGACAACUUUUCCCGGACGGAGGGAGUACUAAUAUACUUCCUCCCUCUGGGUUUAUUUGCCCCCCUUGUUUGGUGCAAGUUUGACCAUUUCUUUGACUAACAAAAUAUGAGGUAUGUGCUACAUAAUGUAUACUAUUUGUAUUCGUACGAAGUUUUCCAUGGUAAAAAAUUUAUGACAUAUAAUUCAUAUUUUAUAUUAGUAAAAUCUAGUUAGGUUCAGGCUUUGGAUUAACCGAUCAUGAGCCCAUGCAAGGUGGGCUUUCAUGUUAAAGGGUUGGGUCCCCCCGCCCCCCAAUCCGUCCUUGGUUAGAGGAUCAUAUUUUCUGUAAGAUUGUUGAUGCACAUGCUCCUGCAGAGUUCUUUUAGACAUCUUUAUUUAUUCUGGAAUAGUUUACUUGGUUAUUGACUAUGGGCAUCUCCCCCCCCCCUAUGUUGUCGUCAUUUAUACAUAGCUCCUUUGUCUAAUAUUGCCCUAAUUAUUCAUGUGCAAGUAAUUAAAUAAGACGCUGUCAAACUAAUUAUAAGCAACUCGUUCCAUUUAUACAUACAUGGUCUGGCAGAGUUUUUAGCCCAAACGAACCUGUUAUCUUUGUUGCAUGUACACCUGCUGAUUCUACAAUUGUGUGCCAAGUCUUGGAAAGUGCAGACAUGUACACCUGCUAAUUCUACAAUUAGCAUUUCUCUGUAAUCUUGAUAACACGUGAGAUUCUUGAUGCUAAUGUGCGAUGGGCAAAGUAUACAAACCCACCAGAUUAUCUUUCGGUUUGAUGGGGUCUAGAGAUGAAGGGGAUUGGGGGGAUUAAAUCCUUGCCAGUCAAAAUUCCCCUCCAAUUCACUUGGUGGGGGGAUUAGCCAAACAAGGCUUGAAGGUAACUAGCAGGUUUGUGCGCGGCGGCAGGCCGUGCUUCACUAAUACAUCUGCAUAUAAAUUUUAUAUAUUUGGCUUGAAUGUGUUCAUAUUUAUUUUUGUCUUGUUGGAUAAAUCUUUUCUUGGAGCUUUAAUCAGGAGGUCAUUUAUAUGACAGGGUAAAUGGUAUUUUAUAUUGAAUUGAUAACAAUCAUAAGUUCGAUGAAUCGAAAAUGGCACAGUAAUGGUUUGGUGUACUGGAGUUUCUACUUAAACAAUAGUUUUUCAAUGAAAGGGAUGACUUCCCCAAUUGCAUAACGAAACCAACUGUCUUACAACCAAAACGCACCACCGCCAACUUGGAGGACAGGCCCUUCCAAGCCCAUCCGCAGGGAGCCUAGUUGAUCAGGGCCUAGGUAAAGCAGUACUUAGACAACAGUGUUAUGGUGAUAUCAAAGGCACAAUUAUAAACUUGAUGUUUAACAUUAGCGUUCAUGAUGCACCCGUCACUUGUUGCUCUGCAUUGGUUCUGAUGUUUAGGCUGAGUUGGACAACACUUUCUGCCAUGGGAAAAGGACAGAAUAUGGUUGGUACAAUCGUUGUCGCCUUAAGUCAUUUUGUGAGAUGUUAGAAAAUGUCAAGUGCCAAUUCACCUGUGCGGUUUUGAUUGGUGUUACUGGUAUAGAAUGCUCCCUCAUGUCUUUAGAUAAACAAUAAUAAUGUUCCACAUGCUUGAACAUAGAGAAUCCUGAGUUUCUUUCUCCUCUUCCUAGUUGUCACAAUGUUCCAAUUAGUACUCCUAGCAUACUUCAACUUAUGUUGUGAAUGUGCCCCUCCAAAAAAUGUGUAAACUCUACAGCCUAUUUGCGUGUAUCAGUUCAAGAUUUGUAAGCCUGCACACCAUUACGGUUGAAUGUUGCUAAGGAUUAUAUGAGAAUUAGGUAUUUGAUCCAUGCCUUCCUAAAAUGCCUAAAGAAUACCCUGAAAAAUAUGGAAUCAGCUGCUCUGUGUGGUCAAAUUGUUUUGUAAACAUCAUAUACUUUAGUCAACUUGUGUAGUACUAACUGAAUAAGAAAUCAGAUUCUGAAGUCCUGGAACGAAAUAGAUCUCUGGUUUAGCAGAGGCCAGAAGGUAGAAACUAUGUGGCCAAUCGAAAAUCCCACAUAAGCAAAUAGCAAAAAAAAAAAGAACUAGGAAGCGGCACAUGUAACAGAGGACAAAAGAAAAAUCUGAGAAGAAAUAUUUCUCAUGUGUACAUGCAGUAUGAAUAUAUAAGGCAUACAGUAAUAGCUGUAAUGAAUAGCUUAGAGAGUAAAAUUAAUCCACCAGUUAUCUGUCAAAGCCAGGCUUUACAAAAAUCAAUUGAGCAAAGGUUAAGCGCUUAACAUAUCACAAUGAUAUCAAUUUUCACUAAAAAGUACAAAUAGAGUAACAGAUUCAUGGUAGAUAUACUGCAAUUUGUGCUCCUAACCAGUUGGCAAAUGUUGGUUUGCUAUUACGAUAUUUACUGGGUACCAAUAUGCUGUCUAGCAUACAACAGGUGGUGUAUAGCAACCAUUAGGUGAUUUAUAUCUGCUACCUCUGUCCGAAAUUAGAUGACACUCAAAAGGAUGUAUCUAGAUGUAUUUCAGUGCUAAAUACACCCGUUUGAGCAUUAACUAAUUCCGGACGGAGGAAGUACAAUCGUUUCCAUCAGUAAAGAGAAACUGAGUUAAUCCCAUUUGGCGUACUAUUUAGAAAUUAUCUUGUCUGGCAAAGGUUAAUUUUUUUAUCUGCCUGACGUUGGAUGACACUCUACCGUGUAGUGUUAUACUUGCCAAUUGACACAUGAAAGUUUCGCCCUUUUGUCCAUCUUGUUCCUCUUGCCUAGAAGAUACUAUGAAACAAUUGUUGUUUCGGUGCCAUAAAGCUAGGGGGGAGGGGUGGUUGGAUUCGUUCCCCAAUGGCCUUUGUGAAGGUUAAUGUUGAUGUUUUUUUUUAUCAUGAUUUUCUUAAGGGUACGGUUGGAGCGGUCCUGAGGGGCGAUAAAGAAAAAUUCAUUGCAGGAGGCCUUUGGAGAAUCAACUGGUGUGCGGCCGUUCUCACGACGGAAGCUCUGCUGCUUAGAUUCGGUCUAUCCUUGACGCAACGGACGGGAUGUAAUCGACUUUCAUCAAUUCUGAUAUAAUUUGGAGGUCAUUGAUGCCAUGAAUAAUAGAGGAUGGUUGGUAUUUAUUGCUUGUGAUUUUAAUAUUUCUGGGUUUCAACAUUGUAAUAGAGAAGCAAAUAAGGUUUCUCACGAGCUUACUAGAUUGGCUAGUUUUUUGACUGCACACUUGAGACUUGACACUUUCUCACAUAGGUGAUAUAUGCAUAACUGUGUUCUGAGUGCU